rnacentral:rRNA from 1 species
CACGCUGUAAACGAUGGGUAUUAGGAUUGGUGGGAGUUGACCCCUGCCGAUCCGGAGCUAACGCGAUAAAUACCCCGCCUGGGAAGUACGGUCGCAAGACUAAAACUCAAAGGAAUUGACGGGAGCCCGCACAAGCGGUGGAUUAUGUGGUUUAAUUCGAAGCAACGCGCAGAACCUUACCUGGGUUUGACAUCCUUUGACAAACGUAGAGAUACGUCUUUUGUAGCAAUACAACAAAGAGACAGGUGC